GAUGAACGCUAGCUACAGGCUUAACACAUGCAAGUCGAGGGGCAGCACUAGGUAGCAAUACUGAGGUGGCGACCGGCGCACGGGUGCGUAACGCGUAUCCAACCUUCCCGAUACUCUUGGAUAGCCUUCCGAAAGGGAGAUUAAUACAAGAUGGUGUUUCACUUUUCGCAUGUUAUUGAAACUAAAGAUUUAUCGGUAUCGGAUGGGGAUGCGUGACAUUAGAUAGUAGGCGGGUAACGGCCCACCUAGUCUACGAUGUCUAGGGGUUCUGAGAGGAAGGUCCCCCACACUGGAACUGAGACACGGUCCAGACUCCUAGGGAGGCAGCAGUGAGGAAUAUU
rnacentral:rRNA from 1 species